GUCUAAGGCCAUACCACCCUGAACAAGCCUGAUCCCAUCACCUUGGAAGCUAAGGAAGCUAAGCAGGGUUGGGCCUGGUUAGUACUUAGAUGGGAGACCACCUAGGAAGACCAGGCACUGUAGGUG
rnacentral:rRNA from 1 species